CACUGACACUUUGCUAUAAGCCACCUGUGAAAUGAUUAAUUUGCUUGUUUUCCUUUUGUGUUGUGCCCUGUGAGGCGAGGCACUGGGUCAGGCAGGACCUUCAGGUGGAAGUGGAGAGGUUGUGCCUGGAGGGGACCGGAGGGCAAGGCAAGGCAGCAGGCAGGAAUAGCUGCAGCAAGCAGCCAGGAGCUUGCCCUGCAAACAGACUGCUGAGAAGGCAGUGAGAGACAGAAACCAGACCUUCAUGGGGAGAGAAACAGUCAGCUGGAGUGGGUGCUUUAAAUUUGGGAGUGGAUGGAAACAGCCUGGAAAAAGACUGGCCUUACAGCACCUCUCUUUGCCCUGAGGUGCUCAGCUACCUGGAGAGCCCAGCUCAAUGCACAACUGAGCUCACUCUAAUACCUGGGAGAAAAGAAGGAAUCUCGCUGUAAUUCUUCUCUGCAGCUACACACUUCAGAUGAGAAUACUGUAAGGCAAACAAUAGUAAACAAAUCCCUGCUGCUUUUCAGCAGAAAGGUACAAUUUUGGAAGAUAACAGUUACACAACUUUCCAAGGAGCAACAGCAUCCCAGCAGCACAAAUUUACAGCUUUUGGACCAGAGCUAUGGCAUAUGGAUCAGAACUGUUUGUGACUCAAACCACAGAGUAAGCUGAUGCCUUCCUGAAAAAAAAAAAAAGAGGAAAAAAAAACAAACCAAACUUUUUUCAGCAAUGUUGGUAGAAAGGGGAAAAGCUAAGCUGGCUAUCAAAAUUAUAUUACCUUAUUGCCUGACAGUAAUGUAGACUCUGGGAAUUCAGGUGAGUAGGGAAAAAUGCAUUUAAUAGAACAUGAAUAAAUCUGUUUCAAGUAUCAUCUUCAGCUGGGGAGAUAAUGGGCUAUUGAAAAGACCUGGUAGGGAAGACAUGAUUAUGCCAUCUUUCUCUCAGACAUCUGAAUGUUCUUCCUGAAGCCUUUUUUAUUUGUUUCUGAUGUAAAAUUUUACUUUAUUUGCCACAAUAGAGUAGUGUAUAGUCUACCUCCCAUUAAGGUCCAUGGGGAGACUUAAUACAAUUGGGUUGGCAAACCGCCCUUGUCCAUACUGCACUGUUUGAAAUGGUUGCUCAACUUCCCAUCUUUGACAUUGUUUUCAAACAUACAAGCUUUUUUUUAAUGAAAGGAGUAAACUCAGAUGUCAGAACCAUUAGAUUUCCUUUUAUCCUUCGUGAGUACAACUGCAACAGGACAUAGCUCUAAAAAGUUGCAUAGACCUGUUAAAUAGGAAGACUUCUUUGUAAGGAAAUCUAUAGAAAGUAGAGAAUUGUGAAAAACUGAAGAGUGACAGCAUCAUACUUGAAGAUAAGAUGAGUAUAUGAAAGAAGAAUGCCAAGGAAAAAAACCCAAAAAUGUGUGGAGGCUUUAUUAGUGAACAAUCUCAUUAGAAUGAUUCACAGUUGAGCAAUUUUGCCUUAGAGGAGUUCCUUUGAUUCAUGGCAAAAAAACUGGGAGGCUCUGGAACCGAAGAAAACCAAGAAUUAGUGAUGGAAAACACCAAAAGUUUAGAAUUUCAAAUGUAGGUGAUUAUUCCAAAUGUUUUGAACAAUCCUUGUAGUAUUGUAGUGUUAGAUGUCAGAUUUCAUACUAAUGUUACAUGUAGACACUCUGGUCUGAGACCAUUGAGAUAAUUUCUAUAGUACUGGACCAGGAUGGGUUUUAACUGAUUGGUUUCUCAGGAAUAUUUGCCUAACUUGUUCUUAAAAAUUUGUAAGGAAGGAAAUAAAGUGUUAUUCCUAA